rnacentral:rRNA from 1 species
UACGGAGGGUGCAAGCGUUAUCCGGAUUCACUGGGUUUAAAGGGUCCGUAGGCGGACCUGUAAGUCAGUGGUGAAAUCUCCCGGCUCAACCGGGAAACUGCCAUUGAUACUGCAGGUCUUGAAUGUCUGUGAAGUAACUAGAAUAUGUAGUGUAGCGGUGAAAUGCUUAGAGAUUACAUGGAAUACCGAUUGCGAAGGCAGGUUACUAACAGAUGAUUGACGCUGAUGGACGAAAGCGUGGGGAGCGAACAGG